UGUUGAGUUGCCGUUUGUCCAAUUUCUUUCAAUUUUUGCCUUGCUCGAUAUCGAUGUCAUUCGAAGAUACCCAAUCAUCGUCGCAUUGACCUAUCCCUUUUGUUUAUGGCCACGAAUUUGUCUGGGACCACUCGAGUUUGAUGCUUCCUUUCGGAGUUCAAGCUCGGGGGUCUGAACUUCUCAUCACCUUGAGGAAGCCAUCUUAUCCCAGGCCUGU
rnacentral:lncRNA from 1 species